rnacentral:rRNA from 1 species
GACGAACCCGUGCAAACGUUAUUCGGAAUCACUGGGCUUAAAGGGCGCGUAGGCGGGCCGUCAGGUCCGGGUGAAAGCCCACGGCUCAACCGUGGAAGUGCCUUGGAUACCGGCGGCCUCGAGGGAGGCAGGGGCGUGCGGAACUUCGGGUGGAGCGGUGAAAUGCGUAGAUAUCGGGAAGAACAUCGGUGGCGAAGGCGGCUCGCUGGGCUGUUGCUGACGCUGAGGCGCG